UAGUCCACGCCGUAAACGAUGUCUACUAGCCGUUGGGAGACUUGAUUUCUUAGUGGCGCAGCUAACGCACUAAGUAGACCGCCUGGGGAGUACGGCCGCAAGGUUAAAACUCAAAUGAAUUGACGGGGGCCCGCACAAGCGGUGGAGCAUGUGGUUUAAUUCGAUGCAACGCGAAGAACCUUACCAGGUCUUGACAUCCUGAAAACUUUCUAGAGAUAGAUUGGUGCCUUCGGGAAUUCAGUGACAGGUGCUGCAUGGCUGUCGUCAGCUCGUGUCGUGAGAUGUUGGGUUAAGUCCCGUAACGAGCGCAACCCUUAUUCUUAGUUGCCAGCACAUAAUGGUGGGGACUCUAGGAAGACUACCGGCGUAAGCCGUGAGGAAGUGGGGACGACGUCAAAUCAUCAUGGCCUUUAUGCCUAGGGCUACACACGUGCUACAAUGGUGCAUACAGCGGGUAGCGAAAUCGCGAGGUGGAGCUAAUCUUGUAAAGUGCAUCCC
rnacentral:rRNA from 1 species